rnacentral:rRNA from 1 species
GAGUCAUUGGGACUCGAUUAAACCUAAAGGCGCAAUGAAAGUAAAGGUCCGCCUCGCGCGGACCGAGGGAGGAUGGGUCGGCCGACGCGCCGGCCCCGCACUCCCGGGGCGUCUCGUUCUCAUCGCGAGAAGAGGCGCACCCAGAGCGUACACGCUGGGACCCGAAAGAUGGUGAACUAUGCCUGGUCAGGACGAAGUCAGGGGAAACCCUGAUGGAGGUCCGUAGCGAUUCUGACGUGCAAAUCGAUCGUCGGAACUGGGUAUAGGGGCGAAAGACUAAUCGAACCUUCUAGUAGCUGGUUCCCUCCGAAGUUUCCCUCAGGAUAGCUGGCGCUCGCCUUUGCGAGUCUCAUUCGGUAAAGCGAAUGAUUAGAGGCAUUGGGGUC